UUAAGUUCAGCGCGUAUUCCUACCUGAUCUGAGGUCAAUAAAUGAAUUAGCAAGGAGCACAAGGCACCAGGCGGGCUUAAGGUGCAGCACCAUGAAUGCACCGGAGAGCAACGAGUUGGACGAACCUAGAACGUUGUGUAACCGGGCGGCGGGCCGCACCAAUACAUUUGAGGAGAGCGAACUCGAGAGGUCGCAAGUCC
rnacentral:misc_RNA from 1 species